UACGGGGGGGGCAAGCGUUGUUCGGAAUUACUGGGCGUAAAGGGUGCGUAGGCGGUUCGCUAAGUUAGAUGUGAAAACUCUGGGCUCAACCCAGAGCCUGCAUCUAAAACUGGCGGGCUAGAGUUCUGGAGGGGGUAGCGGAAUUCCUGGUGUAGCGGUGAAAUGCGUAGAUAUCGGAAGGAACAUCAGUGGCGAAAGCGGCUUCCUGGACCAGCACCGACGUUCAGGCACGAAAGCGUGGGGAGCAAACAGG
rnacentral:rRNA from 1 species